rfam:Hymenolepis nana genome assembly, scaffold: HNAJ_contig0000795
GGGGUGUGCAAUAGACACCUCCACGUGGUGCACCCUGGGCAACGUAUUCUCAUACGGCAAAAAAGUCUAU